GAUGAACGCUGGCGGCGUGCCUAAUACAUGCAAGUCGAGCGAAUGGAUUAAGAGCUUGCUCUUAUGAAGUUAGCGGCGGACGGGUGAGUAACACGUGGGUAACCUGCCCAUAAGACUGGGAUAACUCUGGGAAACCGUGGCUAAUACCGGAUAACAUUUUGAACCGCAUGGUUCGAAAUUGAAAGGCGGCUUCGGCUGUCACUUAUGGAUGGCCCCGCGUGGCAUUAGCUAGUUGGUGAGGUAACGGCUCACCAAGGCAACGAUGCGUAGCCGACCUGCGAGGGUGAUCGGCCACACUGGGACUGAGACACGGCCCAGACUCCGACGGGAGGCAGCAGUAGGGAAUCUUCCGCAAUGGACGAAAGUCUGACGGAGCAACGCCGCGUGAGUGAUGAAGGCUUUCGGGUCGUAAAACUCUGUUGUUAGGGAAGAACAAGUGCUAGUUGAAUAAGCUGACACCUUGACGGUACCUAACCAGAAAGCCACGGCUAACUACGUGCCAGCCGCCGCCGUAA
rnacentral:rRNA from 1 species